CCUACGGGCGGCAGCAGUGAGGAAUAUUGGUCAAUGGACGAGAGUCUGAACCAGCCAAGUAGCGUGAAGGAUGACUGCCCUAUGGGUUGUAAACUUCUUUUAUAAAGGAAUAAAACGAGGCACGUGUGCCUUUUUGCAUGUACUUUAUGAAUAAGGAUCGGCUAACUCCGUGCCAGCAGCCGCGGUAAUACGGAGGAGCCGAGGGUUAUCCGGUUUUAGUGGGUUAAAGGGGUGCGUAGGCGGACUAUUAAGUCAGCGGUAAAAGCCCGGGGCUAAACCCCGGCGAGCCGUUGAAACUGGGUGUCUAGAGAUGACGAGAGGUAUGCGGAAUGCGCAGUGUAGCGGUGAAAUGCUUAGAUAUUGCGCAGAACUCCGAUUGCGAAGGCAGCAUACCGGCGGCGAUCUGACGCUGAGGCACGAAAGCGUGGGUAUCGAACAGGAUUAGAUACCCCAGUAGUC
rnacentral:rRNA from 1 species